rnacentral:piRNA from 1 species
UGUAUAUCACUCGCGCAACGACGAAUAU